UGGGGAAUAUUGGACAAUGGGGGCAACCCUGAUCCAGCCAUGCCGCGUGAGUGAUGAAGGCCUUCGGGUUGUAAAGCUCUUUUGGCGGGGACGAUGAUGACGGUACCCGCAGAAUAAGCCCCGGCUAACUUCGUG
rnacentral:rRNA from 1 species